rnacentral:rRNA from 1 species
CUGGCCUUGACAUCUACAGAACUUUCCAGAGAUGGAUUGGUGCCUUCGGGAACUGUAAGACAGGUGCUGCAUGGCUGUCGUCAGCUCGCGUCGUGAGAUGUUGGGUUAAGUCCCGUAACGAGCGCAACCCUUGUCCUUAGUUACCAGCACGUAAUGGUGGGCACUCUAAGGAGACUGCCGGUGACAAACCGGAGGAAGGUGGGGAUGACGUCAAGUCAUCAUGGCCCUUACGGCCAGGGCUACACACGUGCUACAAUGGUCGGUACAAAGGGUCGCCAA